rnacentral:tRNA from 1 species
GGCCCCAUCGUCUAAUGGUUAGGACGACAGGUUCUCAGCCUGUUAAUCCGGGUUCAAGUCCCGGUGGGGUCACCA